GAACUUUGGCCUCAGGAAAAUAAUUUUUCCCUUUACCUUUCUAAUGUAACAUUUGUUCCCCUUUCUACAUCAAUUCAUGGAUCUCUGUUUGAGUCUGUCCAAUGCCACUCUUGUUACCCAUUAAGAGUCAGAUAUCAAGUCUUUUCAUACUACAUCUAAAUCUUCAACUUCCUUCCCCUUACAUUUCAUGCGUUCUUCCAUCCCGGCCCUGUCCUGGACAUUGCUAUCAAGAUCUCAUUGAUGAUUGUUAUCAACACCUCAUCCUGCUUCUGCCACCACCGGCCCCAUCUAACACUGCUCAGUCCACUGCUAGUGGAAGACAGCC
rnacentral:lncRNA from 1 species